rnacentral:rRNA from 1 species
UACGGGGGAUGCAAGCGUUAUCCGGAAUCAUUGGGCGUAAAGCGCCUGUAGGUUGUUUAAUAAGUCUGUUGUUAAAGACUAGGGCUUAACCCUAGGAAAGCAAUGGAAACUACUAGACUAGAGUAUGGCAGGGGUAGAGGGAAUUUCUAGUGUAGCGGUGAAAUGCGUAGAUAUUAGAAAGAACACCGGUGGCGAAAGCGCUCUACUGGACCAUUACUGACACUCAGAGGCGAAAGCUAGGGGAGCGAAAGGGAUUAGAUACCCCUGUAGUCCUAGCCGUAAACGAUGGAUACUAGAUGUUGUGUUAUUUAUACAGUAUCGUAGCUAACGCGUUAAGUAUCCCGCCUGGGGAGUACGCACGCAAGGGUG